AGGAGCGGCGGCGGCGGCGGCGGGCUGAGCUGCCGAGCCCGGCGGGGGCGGGGAGGGAGGGGAGAGAGGGGGGCCCCGACGUCUGCUCCGCAGCCGCUACCCCUCCGCGCUGAGCAUCUUCCCCGCGCCCCGCGAGAGUGCUGAUAACAUGCCCAUAGCCAUGAGCUCGGUGACGUGUAGAGGGUUGGCUGGACUGACUCAACCACAAGAUAGUGCUGACUUUGAGUGCACUGGUACGUGUGUGAGUAAAGGCAGCAGUGUUUGCCUAUGAAUCAUGAAGAUCAACUGCUGAUUAUUUAAGAGUCGAAAGGAAUGCUUGAAGUAGUAAUGAAAACUCCUAGAGAUACAGUUUUCUAUAUCAUAACUGAUUUAAUGUAAUUACUCCUGCCAAAAUAAUGUUGGGGUAUUCUAAGCAUUAGCUCUAAAGCACGUUUUAGAGUGAGAUUUGGAAAAUUAUUUUGAUUUUAACUGAGUACUCUCUGCUUCUUUGCAGAGCUCCGUUGUUUCAAUAAAAUCUUAUAGACACAGUCUGCUGUUUAUACAGAUUUGAUGUAGCCCAUCUGGAGAAGGACUGAACAGAAUACAAAAGUUUAGUUUCAUCCUGAAUCAGGAGAAAACAUAAACAUUUUGCAACAUAUCCUGAACAGAAUUCCAAAAACUGAGUCUGGAAAUACGAAAAUGUCCAUUUCAAAACAUUUCUUUUUCAUAUUUUCAAAACAUGUCAAUGCAGUUUAAAUUUUAACGUCUAGAUUGUCAGUGUCACUUUUGUUCUGACAUGAACAGAUCUUUUCAAAGCAGAUGCUUUGGCAGCAUUUCCUUAAAAUGCUGAAUGAUGUUUAUAGAAUUGUCUAUACUUUUCCAAUACCUUGGGUCUCCACAUCUCUAUCCCUGCAACUAACAAGACUUUUAUCAGUCUGAACUUGCUUUGUCCUGGAUUUUGUGAUCUGCAUUUUUAAAUUGAAAUCAGAUCUUUAGAAUAGGUGGGAUGUGAUCCAUUAACAACUGUCUGAGUUAGGAGCAAUAAUUACCUGGAAUUGCUAAGCCAGAGGAGGAAGCAGUUAAGGCUGUCAGCAUGAGGCCAAUCUGAUGAUGGCAGAGCAUAGUGGAUGUGCCAGCCGGUUUCUAUACCUGCCAUAAACUUCAUUACUUCUAUUGAUUGUAACAUACUCCAGCCUAGAGCAGCUCUCCAUGAAGGAAAAAAAGUGUGUAACACACAGCAAGUCCUAGGAAAGGAUGAAGGUUUCUAGCAAGAUGGCAAAAGAAAGGGCAUUUUUAGACAUUUGGAAGGUUAAUGAAGAGGCGAACAUGAACCUGGAUUUUGUAAUGACAGGGAAGAUCUACAUGAUUUCACCACUAAGUACAUUUCCCAUUCAGCCACUUUGACCUUCUUUUUGCCUGGCUUCCUUUCCAGCCAGCAGCACUUUCUCUAAGGCCUGACCAUCUACAGGUGAGCAGGUGCCAUGGCUGUGUCAGUGGUGAGUGAGCCACAUCUGCACCUGCACGCUGCCAUCAGCCCAGACUGCUGUACCUGGUACUCACCCUGCUCGUGUGAUGGAGCUGAAGAGAACGUUGGCUACUCGGCAUCCUGACAGGCCCAGGCACCAGGUUCUGCCAGUUCUCCAACAGAAGGGCUUUCAUCAAUUUAUAAUGCAAGGCAAGAAAAGAAAAGCAGCAACCCACUGAACAAGACUAAAUCACAACAUGCCUUUGAAUCAAUGAGCAAUGCCCAUUAGCAAGCCUGAAGCCUGCAGAGAAAAACUGCUAAUUCCAGCAAGGAUAGUUGUUUGUGGCUAAACUGCUCAGUGGAAUGGAGCCAGGGAGUGAACCCAGGCACCAUACUGCUGAUCAUACAUGUUAAUGAACUGAUAGCCUUCACCCUGGGAUGACAAAUUAGCACUUUGUGGCAUAGUUCUCAGGACAGCCUGCUCCAGGGACCAUUCUCACUGGCUAGUUCAGACAUCAUCACCUGUUUUUUGGAGGUAAGGCUGAGAUUUUUGAUGAAUAGAUGUAAAUCAGCUCAUGCCAUUUAAUUUCAGAGCCCACUAACAGUCCUCAACCAUGUUCAGUUUGUAAUCUAACAGCCUCUCUGCAACUACUCUCAAAAAAAUCCUUCUUUAAAUAGUUUCUAACUUUACCAGAAGGUAUCUUAACCUAACUAAGUCCAUCAGCAGAGAAUGGCCUUGGUGGCUUUCUAAAACCUAUACACUGUGUCUUCAUACACAGAUUUAACUGCUUUUCUUUAAUCCCUAAAAAACUCAUAUGCUCUGCUAUUUUGUCAGUGUUCUUACUGCAGUUAAAAAUAGAAAAGAAGAAAAUUCAAGUUUUGAAGUUGUAAAUACUACAUGAUAACUGAAAGUGUCAAUCAGAGGAUUUCCACAAACCAGUUAGCAGCAUGAAAGUUGCAGAAAUAUCAAACAGUACUACAUUUCUUGGAGUCUGUAUCCAUUUUAACAUUUAGGAGUUUCUCCACAACUAUGAGAUAUACAACCUUUACCUGAGUGGAAGUAUUUUGCUUCAGAAAUAAGAUAAGCGGCUUUCAAAUCUUUUUAGGUGAAACUUCUGCCUUCUCAAUUACCCCCAAAAACCAAACUUAACCUCAAAAAGCAUACAGACUCUGACUCCUCUGGCUUUUACUUGCUUCUCUUAAUGGGUAAGAACAUCGCUUUGCUCAACUUAUAUGAUGUAUUUGAUGUAGUAGAAACAAUAAGCUACUGGAUCACUUCAAGAAUGACAAGAAACAUUCUAAAAUUCUUCCUGCUCCACCUUUCAAGUCAGCCCAGAGGAUCACCGCACCACUCAGAUUUAGUGACUCAUAAAAGUCAGAAGUUUUCUGGCAUAUUACUCAACAUGCAGUCACUGCUAUGAUGAGAACAUUGCUCUCAUCCCCAACCACUGCAGAAGAGAUCACUAUCCAGACGAAAAGAGGAAAUUUUCCAAUAGAACAGAGCUCAGUAACAUGAAAUCUGGAUAUUAGCACAAUUUUAUUCCCCAUCAUACAGUCACCCAUUGAACAGUAGAGGUGAAAAGCACAAAUUCAGAAUAAAACAACAGUUUAGCAUGUGAUAAUUAGCCACAGGGAGUACCUAUUUCUUUCCACUGACCUUGGAGAAUGCCUACAAAGUAGCAGGGAUACUAAUAAUGCUUAUUUUAAAGAAUAGAAUUAGCAAAUAAUCUCUCUACACUUUUGUGAACUUAAUUAUAACAAUAACUACUAUAUUUCUUUGUUAAUAAUAAGUAUAGCAUUUCAUCCAACAUAACUCAUUUUCUUGCAUUUGCAGCUGAAAAAGAACUAAAUGGUAAGAAUGUGCUAUUUUGCGGAAAGUGUCAACUUUCUACCAGCCUUCAUAGUCUGAUCAACCUAAUUUUUAGAAACCCAUGAAAUUUUACAGAAGUAGAGCUAAAACAACCCAAACAAUAACAAAAUCAUCAAGUUUCAUAUUCAACUUCUUUAAAAGAGCUGGAUUGUCAUACACAAAGCAACGAAAAGCCAAAGUCAUAUCCUAGAAAUAAUUAUUGAGUAGAAACAUUUAAAAUGUUCCUGUAUCUUAUAUCUUGAGGAGCUUCUCCAAAGGCAAGCUGCUACAUCUAUGCAGUAGUGAUCCUCAGUAGAGGUGUCCCUGUAAUACCCAGGUUUUGACAUAAAGGAUAAGGAAGAACAGAAGCUUGCAUGGAGACCUUGUAACAACCUUCCAGUACCUGAACAGGGCCUAAAGGGAAGCUGGAGAGCAACUCUUCAUCAGGAAUAAGGAGUAAUAGGUACAAAUUGAAAGAGAGGAAAUUUAAAUUAGAUAUUAGGAAGAAAUUAUUGUGAGGGUGGUGAGACACAGGAGCAGGUUACCCAGGGAGGUUGUAGAUACCCCAACCCUGGCCAUGGUCAAGGCAGGUUAGAUAAGCCCUUGAUCAGCUUGGUCUAGUGGAAGGUGUCCCUGCCCAUGGCAGCAGGGGUUGAGACUAGAUGAUCUUUAAGGUCCAUUCCUACCCCUUAACAUUCUGUGAUUCUAUGAUAUAAGCAAGUAGUCUACUACAUCCAAAUCUCUGAACAUGUUGAAAGAUCUAAACAAUCUCAAAUUCCAAUAAAAAGGUAGUGAUAUAUUGUAAACUACAUAAACAGCAAGGAUGUUACAUUCUGGACAAUUUUAACAACUGAAGGAAGGAGUCAUAGGCUCAUGCCAUUGCCAUGUUGCAUUCAGCUACUCUACACUUCUGGUGAGGCCCAGAGUACAUCCCCUCUGCUGUCCGUGGCCUCAUGGAGGCCCCCAGACACCGCCAUGGGGAAGCUCUGCACAACAACCCUGGGCCAUGUCUGACCCCAGCCCCCACACACCCUGCCUGAUCAUGACACCCCUUGUGGGCCGAUAUCCCAGCACAGCCUGUUCCCUUCCCUAGAAGGUGCCCAAUCCCUGGGGCUGCCCCGGUCCCCUGCAGAUUCCCUGUUCCUGGCUGGGGUGGUGGGAUGAGGCUCGGCUGCCAGGCCCUGCCCUGCUGCCCUGGGGAGCCCCCAGUCUUGCGGGACCCUUUGCUUCUGGACCCUUCCUAAAUCUUGUUCCUCUGUCUAUUCUCAAAAUCCAUUCCUUUCCAGCAGCAAUGGUAAAACAUUACUUUCAGUGUUCUGCAAAGCAACUCCAUCAAGCAGACGACGGAGCUCUGUGACACGUGUUACACAUCCGCUUAGCUCAGCUUGGAAAUACUACGGCUUUAAAUACCAACACUCGAGACUUCCGUCGGCAUCUUACAGAAAAGUUGAGUCAUUCCUGGCUCAGACACUGCCAGUCAGAGGGAAGAGGCUGUGGGCAGGAGGGUGCUGUGUGCCCACACCGCCCCACCUGCCAGGCACAGCUGAGUGCCGAAGCGCUGCGGCACAGUCAGUGCAGCACCAGGCUCCCCCUGUGCCAUCCCUGCCCCACCGGGAGACACACAAAGAUUCCCAGCAGAAGCAAGUCACAGGUUGAGACGUACAGAAGCACCUAGGGAACAGCUGCCCAGAUGUGUGGCCUCAGCCUGUGCUGAUGUACCCAGGUAGCACAGCUACUAACAACACCACACUUGUGGUACCACAGGUUUCAACAGCUAUUCCCUCAGAUAAAAUUUGAGAUGGAACAAUUCAUUUGUAAAGGAUAAACCGGGUAAGCCAGGAUGUAUGAGACCUCUGAAAUCACACUGUCACACUGCAGUGCAGGCAAACAGAGCCACCCUGGUGAUGUAGGACAGCUGGAAGGCUGUGUUUUCCUUGGUUUUUACCUGAUCAAAUGAAACUAAAAUUUAAAUCACUCAUAAUAAAAUAUAGAUAAGCUAAUUUUUCUUCUAGAGUGGACAGACAAACUGAUUAUGAGUCAGAAACUCACUGUGCCAAACACUGUGAAGAUAAUAUGGUGAUCCCUCCUCUGAGGAGUUUGCAAAGUUAAAGUAGUUAUGUCUGCAGAGUGAGCAAUGGAAGAAGUAGCAGGCUUUAAUUUACAGCUGAUGUCUAAAUUAGAAAGCAAUCAAAAAACCUGGGUAUCACAGAAUGUGAGAGAGCUGACAAGUAGAGGAAAAUUGUUGGAAACAAGAUAAUAAUGGAAGAUAUAUAACACCAAGUGCCUAGAUUAUUCUCACCCAUACUUUGUAUCAACUCUUAGAGCAAUUUUUCAAAAUUAUGUAUAGUAAUAAAGUAAAACACAAGUAAUAAGGGCAGGCUGCCAAAUAGUACUUAGAAUACAAAUCAAAGGAGUAUGCUCGAGUACACAUUAAAAUUUAAACUUUUCAUCUGCUACUUGUAUGACAGUAUUGUGAGAAAGACAGAAAUGGAAAACUUUUGUCCCUAAUUAAAACUCCCCGUUGAGAUGCAAGUUGUUAGAAUUUCAUACAAAGAGUUGUUACAGCAAGACAGUAAUGAAGAUGGGUUUUGGUAACUAAGACAAAGAGGACAGGGAGUUGAAGAUAGACAUUUGUCACUGCAGAUAAGGGAAUAUUUUUAAACUGGUUUAAUGCAUGUACAUACUUUAUGAUACCAGGGUAAAAAUCAUGCUGAGGGCACAAAUUCUCCUGCCUUUUCCAGAAUACUAGUACAAUGAAAUGAGCAGAAAAAGAGAGGAAGAAGCAAAAAAAAAAAAAAAAUCUUCAUUUUUUCAAGCACCUCUUCAGUACUUGUAGGUACAAGCCAAAAGUAUAUGUGGGUCCUUUUAAAUGUGCGCUCUAGUGCCUGGACACAUUUCCUGAACACUGUUUAAUUUACUAAUAUAGACAUAACUAUGGAAUUCAUUGCUCUGAAGUCACAAUUAAUUUGGUAAUAUACUAUAAGCCAGAGAGGUUAUGUCUCCUGCUUGCUUAUUACUGCAGCAAGUACAAAUCCACCAGCAAUAACAGACACACAGAAUUAAAGAGGUAGUAUCCUGGGGGGUCCACAUGGAAAUGAAUACAAUAACGGCUUGGAAAAAUAUGUCUGAAAUCAGAAUUCUAAUCAAAAUAGUUCUUCCAAGUUUUCUGUCUCUAGUACUUUCCAAAUUGUCUUGGUGUGUCAAGAACCAUCAGGGCAAUCUGUAAUCUGCCAGGCAAGUCUGUGACAUUUCAUACGUUCUCCUGAGAAACAUCAUACCAUAAGAGGUUACUCUAGAAGUGAAGCUCACAAUGACAAGAAAUAUUUAGGACAUAAUAGAAAUAGUCUUUUGAAAUACAGAGAGAAAAGAAAAAUACUUGCAGGCUUCUCAGUUCAAGGUCAAUUCUGGCAAUGCACAUUAUGAACCUUAUGAAAAAGCUUUUCAUGCCAAAAUGACCGAUCCCUGCAUUUUUUAUUUUGAGCAGUAAGACAAGUUUGAAAUGUCCAAAUAUUGGCAGAAGAUUAUUUUGUUUUCAUAUAACAAUGUAAAUUUUGUAGCUCAUUAGUAAUGGAAUUCUCCAAGUAUUACUCUUCCUUUGUUUAAGGUAGGGCUUGUGGGCAGAACUGAGGCAGAGGAGUGUUGUCGCAGCACCAGUAUUGUUGCUAUUGCACUGCUUAGAAACAAAAGUUAAAAAUAAUGCUCCUUGUUAGUUCUUCACACUCACAAAUGCCUUAGUAUUGGUUACUAUGAUAGUUCCUGAUUAUGUCUAGCAACAGUAGUCAAAAGAAUUGAAAAGCAAACCUCUACCAAUUGUUAACAAAUGAGAUUCUGGGGUUUAAUCAUAAAGACUGAGUAGUUUUUUUGUAGUUGAAAGUUAUGUCUGCUUCCACUUCACUAAGAAAUUCUGGCAGAAAUAAAUUUUGCAAAUUCACAUAUUUCUGCAUCCAGUACUGGCUAUUGCAUGCUUAAUUUCAUUUGAGUACAAAGAAUUUCUGAAUUGCAACAUCUAGUUCUAGUUGGUCUUACGUUUUUCUAGAAUAACAGAGGUCACAAGGGUGUUUCAACACAUGAAUCACAAUCAAUUGCACAUUGAUCUUCUAUUUACCUGGUAUUUUUAGGCAAGCUUCCCAGAGCUUAGAAGGCAUUUACAUCACACCUUUGUAAUACUUCUGAUAGGGAGGGUUGGCUACAACAAGAUGAAAGAAUGGGUUUGAGCUUUAGAAAAAGUGUACCACUUUUUUUUUUGAUUAUAGAAAGAUGGAGCUUUCUAUCUCUGCCAGCCAAAUAAUUGCUUUUUAAAACAUGCCAUAGCACUUUUCAGACUGGUUUAUGCUUUUUGAUGAAUUUUUUGGAUGUUGCAGUCUUUUGAGAUAAUUGUAUGCAGGGAAGUACCUCUACUUCUAGUCUUGUUCAAUGACUGCAGUAGAUCUCCAUUCUACACCAAGCAAGAAAAGAAGUAAGAAGGUUAUUCUGGCAAAGUGGGGCACCAAUCCAGUUCCCUGAAUAGGUUGUGUGGCAUAGCAUUAGAUGAAAAUAGCUGAUGAGUAGAUGCUCUGCACCUUUAUAUUUAACAGAAAAUGCACAGCCUUAUUUAAAAAGCUCUCUUAACAGUGAGCUAAAGAAAAAGAAAACAGAUACCAGAUUAAUAAUUUUCAGUAGUACAUGAUAUAAGCUCUCAUUUCUGUCCUGAUGGGAGUCUGUGUUGCACUGUGGACCUCUGGGGGUCUAACAAUCAUUUCUAGUGUCUCAAUAGGACUAUUGUCAAUAGGUUUAUAUUUGCUGCAUAUAAACCCACAUGCCCAUCAGAAAUAAGACCACAUAUAGUGAAUGAGUUUAAAAAACAUAAGAAUUGGUUUUCUGGUGUGCAGACUGGGAAUUUAUCAUAUCUGUUAUGCUUUAUUUUCUAUAUUAUUCUCUGAAAUAUUCCAAAACUCAUUCACUAGCAUAUUAGGAAAACACAAACACAGCUGAAACAAACUAAGGCCUGUAGUUUGUGGAAAUAUUUGUAGUAUUUACCUAGCAUUAAUAACAUGAACCUUGUUUGCAAAAAUAACCAACUGUGUAACACCAGAAAUGGCAAGAAAAAAAAAAGACAGAACAACAUUUUGUAGAACCAGCAACCCACUCUAAACCUUUUAAAAAGGGUAUGAUUUGUAGUAAUGGAAACCACCUUUUACUAGACCACACUGACACAUCUGGGAGAUACAGGUGUCUGGGCAAUAAGGCCUUCGGGUCUCAAACAGCAACUGCAGCCUUUAAAGAAAGAAUACAAGUUGAGAAUAUACAAGCUGCAUGCCUGAAGUUGCAUAUCUCAGGCCAUCUGAGAGAAAAAGUUGGUAAGUAUAAAGUGAUUUUAAUAAAAAUAUGAGUGGCUGCACCAGGCCACAGCAGAGCUCUAGAGAUGUGUUUAAAUCAACAUCCUCAUUUCAGCAAUGACCCAUACAAAAAGAAAGUUGCUCACAUUCCGUUGGAACAUUCCACUUUGGAUAUAAAAAUGUUUCAAAUGUAAUAAAUUUACCAAUUUAAAAUUCUACUUAGACUGAUACUACUUCCCAGAAAAAAUGUAAUUUGAAGUCCUUUGUGAUUACAGUACAAGUUUAAAUAUUCCAGGUAAUUUUGAGGGCUGAAAUAAAACAUGGCUCCAGCAGUUUAGAUAAAUACUAUCAGUAAGAUAAAUACUAACUACUCAGCAAUGGAAUUACACAUUAUUAAAGUCUCAUACCUUGGUCUUAUUUAACCACGGGUAUUUUAUCUUUAAUCAAUAAAUAUAAUAUUAGUGCUAAAAUCCAAAAUACAACUAUAUGUUUGGAUUCUGACAUAAUAAGAAGAGUUAAGAAAACAAUCAAGAAAAAAAAAAAAGUAAGGGCAUGGAAUUACUGUGCACUGACAUUCUCGAUUCCUCUCAGAAGAGCACCAGAUCCACCUAGUGGAAAUUUUCUUUAUUACAAUGACUCUAAAAUGCCAUCUUGUAAGCAGUAUCACAAUUUAUGCUGCUUGGUGGGAAAGCUAAUACGUGUUAUUGUCACUGAAUCACACAAUUUAGGGCUGGGGAGAUUUUUGCUAGGUUUCUUCCUGUCAUGCAGGUCUAUUAUUUUGCCUUUCACCUAUCUUAAAUUUAUGAAAGGAUGAUGUUUACACUGUUCAUUUAGAGAGAGAGAGAGAGACAGAGUUUUCUAAUUUUUUAUCUGUCAUUAAUUUUUUUUUUUCCUAAGUAAAUUAAAUGUGCCCUUUUUUUGUGUAAUCUUAUUUCUUUAAGCAAUUGGCUACAUUACUCUGACAACUAUCUGGUUUUAAACUUCAAACCUAUAAAGUUCUGUCAUGUUCCUUCUGUACUCCACAGCAGUAUUGGUAACAGUAUUAAAUUCUGUUACUGAUACAAUUUAGACUCUCUGGUGAACAUUUUCUUUUUUCUCAUAAUUCCCUAAAUCACAUAUUUGUAUCUUUCUGGUGAUAUGUGCAAAACUGUACUUAGAGGAUGCACAGAAAUAUCAAGGACACUUUAAAAUAUGUUUUGAUAACAUGUCUUUUUACAACUGUAAGACCAUAUUCAAACCAUUUUGUACUUCAAAUUAAUCUCAGGAAUAUGGGCAGGAGUUGGUGAUUCUGCAUGUGUGACUGUUUUCAGCACAUAGGACAGCAUAAUCAGAUUUCAUUCCUUCUUUGCCACAUACACACUUAUUUUCUAAAGAGAACACUAGAAAAAAUGUAUAUAAAGUUUUCUAGCCCUCAAAUGCAAAGCAGAUGUAUUAGCUGAACCCACAAGACAUGCUGAGCUAUACUUUCAGCAACUGCUUGGUUUGACCGCUGAACCAAUAUUUAUGAUCUUGCUGUGAAGUUCACAAAUUAUCAUAAUCUACAAAAUUUCUCCUUAGAAAGUGCAAAUGGUUCAAAUCUGUAGGCAGGGCUGUAAAGAGCACAGCCCUUAUAAAAUCAGGUCUAUGCUAUUUGAAUGGGAUUUAUCUUGCCUGAAUAAAAAACCACAGGUCCUGGAUAAAAUGCAGAAAUUUAAAACAGAAAUUGGAAAAUCUGUUUCACAUGGGAUUAUUCUGGAUCUUUUCAGUACAUUGACUUGUCAGAAAAAAUGAGGUUAUUUACUUUGUUCUUUUGAUUCAUAACUAGGAGCGUGGAUUUAAAAAGACAUGGUGAAAAUUGUUCUCUUUUGUGGUACAAAUGCCAUAGAAGUACAAGAGACAUAGUUGCAGGACUGAAAAAACCAGACAUAUGAUACAUGAUGUUCCUAAGGAGUAGGCAGCAUUCAUCAGUCUGGUACAUCCAGUGGCUGUUAAUGCUAAAACGUGUUGGUAUAUGAUGGUGUGCUACAAUUACUUUCUCAGAACAUAGUGAGAAUUUCAAGCACAUUUCCUCAAGUAAGAAACAGGUUUCUAGGGGAAACAGGUUUCAUCUCAGGAGUUUUGAUACUGGGACUAUUUUAAAAUUAUUAUUUUUCCUGUACAUCACAAUUUAAAGUCAAUAAUUUCUAUUGUAUUUUCUCAAGUAAAAAUCCAAGUAGAGAUUCAGAGCAAUAUUCAUUUUAUGGCACAUAAAAUGUCCACAAUAGAGAUCUCAGGACUCAUGUAAAGGUCCCUGUAAUUAACAGAGAAAAAUAGGCACCUUUAAGGCAUGACUCAUUUGAUAUAAUUUAGGCAUUUGCUUUAGGACUAGAUGAAUCACAUGAGUGAAAUGGCUGCAUAUCUUCAAUGAUUACAGCAAGAAGCUAGACAUGUAUCUCCUAUGACUGAGUUAUAAAUAUGAAUUUCACUAAUAUAGUUGGAAAUUGAAAUUUUAUCCUUCAAUUGUUCCUCCUUUUGCUAAAGCAGAACACAAUUUAGCAUGUUCAAUACAGGUCAAAGAAAACAUUAUUGAUUUCAUUCCAAUUUCAAGUGAUCAGCUAGGUACAUGAAAAAACUUUCAAGAUGAUUUAAAAAAAUAUUUAGAUAUUUUAAAAUUACAUAGAUUUUAAAAUGCAAUUCAUUUUUAAUUUUUUUGUAAUAAAUUCCAACAUUUUCCUUUUAUAACUGUGACAAAUUUAUGAAAAAGAGUGUCUGCUUCUUUUAGCCAAUAUUUUUUAGUAAAAAUAAAAUAAUCUGGACAGUUACCAGUAUAUCCAUGAUUGCAUACUGUAGGACCAAUCAUCAUAAGGAACUUAAAAAUUAACACAUGCAUAGGGAAAACAGUUCUUUCUAAUAAUGCUAUGUCUUUCUCCACUUCCACCCGCUUCAUCAGUGGAAUAUGCAAAAGAAUUAAUAUAGUGGGCACAUGAAAGACACAGUUAUGAAUUUUGCCCAACAUUGCCAUGUAUCAUAAUAUAGUAUUAGUGCCCUAUAUAGUUACAGGCCUAAUUCAUUAUAGUUGCCCUACAUAAUAAUUUAGUAAAGUUGUGCUGUAAACCCUUUUGAACUUCAUUUUGGUAAUGGCUGGUCAGAAGAUGCACUCUAAAACAUCAAUAAUGUAACCAAGGGUUCUUCUGCUUAUCCAUGAAGAGAGAAACUGGUUGAGUUAAAGCUCUCCAAGAAUACUGUUAGCCUUGUUUUUUAUUGCUCAUGCUGUAAUACCACAUGAAGACUGGCAAAAGAGAAGUCUUAAAAAAUAAAAGCCAGGGGAGGGAGGCCAUAAGUAAAUUAAACAUAACACAAGAAGCAGAUCAGGAUAAGUAUACAUUGAAUUAUACCACCCUGCUAAAUGAUUGUAUAUUUUUUUUUUUAUUACUGCUUUGUAUAUAGCUUCACACAUCAACUGAACAACUCAUGUUAUCCUACCACCAGAGACACUUAAGUGCACACAUUUGAAACAUUCCCAAGAGCCUCAUCGCAAAGCAAUGCACUGACCAGAAUGCUGGGUUCCUAAAGUAUCAAUAAGUCUCAUGAGGAGAUACAGUAGAAUUCCAAGUUUUCAGCUGCUGGCAAGACAGCUUUGGUGAAAACAUCGAAGGUGUAAGACCUCCAGAUAUACCCCAGAAUAUCCAUUGCACUGACUGGUGUUUGCUCUUUCUGUACCAGGACUACUCACUCUUGGCAUGUCAGCUAAACUGGAUUAGGAACUCAGGUGGGAAACUCACAGUGAGAGCAAAUGAAGUUUUGAAAUGUUUUAAUGGGAAACUACCCUUGGGAUAAAAAAGAUGAGGCAGAAAACAAAAUGAACAAUGAAAAUAAUUGAUUUCCCACCAUAUUUUUCAAAGCCAAGUGUCAGUUAACUACUAAAAUAAAUAAAACAUGCUACUACUUAUUAUUAUUUUACUAGUUGUGGGUAAAAACUAACUGUGGAUAUUGUCACUAGCACUCAUCUCUUACAAUUCAAUAAGAGAUUUGUUAUAAAGAAAUAGUUCUGUUGAGAGAUACUUGGGAAAGGUUUUGGGAUUUUGUUCCUUAUUUUAGUUUGGUUAAAUUUUUUAAUUUUUUUUUUUUUUUACUUGCAACACAUUAGGAGGACAUGAUGAAGACUAAGUCCAAAUACAGGAUUUCACAUGUUCAGAAUUAUGUGUGUUGUGAUUCUGAUGGCAGUUUUCUGCUUAUCAGUAAACACAUUUCUGACCCUCCUAUUCAUUUACACUUACCUUGACAUUCUCCCAUCAGAAAAUUUAUAUUUCAGAACAUCUGAGUCUAUUUAGUGUCUUGAUAAUUGCUACAUGUAAUGUCAAACAAAACAGAUGAGUUUCAGGACCAAAUAAAAUUCUUCAUUUUCCUAUUAAUUGGUCUGUGUCUAAUUAUCAGCAGUAUCUCCCUUGAUUCCUUGUAGAAAACUGCAGUAGCUAAUUCAAUACUUACACAGAAAAAAAUACUUAGGUUAACACAAACAAAUGGGAUGCUAAAAUGCUGACGCUUAUGGAAAUAUAACAAAUUGUCAGCAAUAAACACAAAAUCUCAGCCAUUUUGCUUAACAGCACCUCCUGCAAAACAGCGAGGGGGUUUUAUCCUUGACACAUUGGAAUAAUCUGUGUUAAAUUCCUGGGGAAAUGCAAAGAAGAUAGCAGAUUGCUUCUCUGCCUUAUCUGAAUUCAGUGUCCAUUAGAAAUCUCAUGAUGAUAAGUUGAAGUAUACAUCAAAAUCCACAGGAAAAUAUUUUGCCAAGAACCUCAGCUUAAAUGAAAUAUCUCCAAAGAAUCUUUUAUAAACUUAUAAAUUCUUUCUCACAUCACGGCAUUCUUGACACAAAUCUCCUUACCUGAAACACUACCCAAUGUGGUUUUUUUUUUCUAUAAUCUAUGACAUGUGGUCAUCUUUCACAUUCUCCAUAAAUCAUAAUUUUCAUAUCCAUAGUAUUGUUUAUUAUAACACCAUAAAAACACAAUUUCUGAUCAUAUUUUAGAGAGUGUUCUAGGAGCUUGCUGUCAAUCCUUGAGGGUGAAUCUCUGAUGCAAAGGGUCAGCAAGCUGAUUUGACUAAAGAAAAACAGAAAACCUAAUUGUGACAGCAACUUUGAAUAUUUGAAACUCUCUAUAUAUCUGUGUAGUCAUUUGCUUCCAUUCUAAAUAGACAUAAAAUAAGGACUGUAAUCUUUUUUAUAUGAUACUUUUAGAUACUCUGUGUUUGUUUCUUCAAAAUGCAUUUCUAGUCAUUCUUGCUAAGCCCAUUAGCUUCUAAUGGCACUUGUUCCUGACUCUUGAAAUCUCAUCCUUGCAUAUAUCUCAUUUACUAUUAACUCUCCUCAGUUCUCAGCUUCCUCUUGCCCAUGCUUCAGUUCUAGCCAAUUUCCAAAGCCAGCCACUCCAUAUGAUUAGAGGCAUAUUAGACUUUUGUCAUUUUUUUUCUCUCACAUUGUCACAUCUUAUGCUUCUGUUCCCAGAGAGACACAAAUUAUGAAAAAAAAAAAGAGUUCACAGGUCAGAGCAGAUAACCUAAAAUAAUGAACUUUUUUUGGUGGAUGUCAUGCACUAGUGCUACUGUAUACUUUGCUAUCAAAAGCAUGUGAGAAGAAUUAUUUCUGCUUGCAAAUUGUUGCUCAGCUUCAACUAAAGAAGCAGCAUAGAUCUAUCACUUCUCUUUAAUAAUGUAAAUUUAUGAACUAGCCUGGUGUUUUGCCAUCCAUCCUCCUCAGCUAUGGCUUUGAUACUUAUCUGUUGCUUAUAUAAAUCUUACAUAAAUUUAACUUAUAAAGCAGGAAGCACAAAAUACUUUGCAUUUGGUUAUGCUCACUGAAAACACAGUAGAACCAUAUUGUGUGUGGGAACACAAAUGUUUUAAAUACUUAGCUCUGCAUAAUUCUUCUUCUUGUGCUUUAUGUGUGCACAUGAGUGCAUAUGUAUUUCUUUGUGGUUCACUGGAAGGGACAGUAUUUUAUAGAAAGUCAUUAUGACUGCCUUUUCUGUUUUCAAGUAGAUCAUGCAUGUAGAACAGGAAAAAAUCCUUAGAUGAUAGAGACUGAAAGACAGUCAUUAGGAGCUCAUCUGCAACCACUGAAUAGAAUUAUUAUUGAAUCUAUUACUUUAAAGGGUUGCAUGAAGUCCAGACCCUGAGAAAAUCAAGAUGGCCAGGUGCUUGGUUGAUGCCUCAAGACUGAUAAAAAAUUGGAAAACUCAUAUAUGUCCCUCCUUUACUGAUGAAUGUGUUCAUACAACCUGAUUAGCUCAGACAGGUUCUGAUCCCGGCUUUAAUAUGUGAAGAAAAGAAUAACUAAGGUCUAACGAUAUUUUUUCCAGUAGCUUCUGUCAUUAGUUCAUCUGAAUCAGGCACUUAGCUCAUAGAUUGAAAAAGCACAAAUAAAGCAUUCUAAUGGAUUUUGAAACUGAUUUUCUGUUUUGAACCCCCAAAAAAUUGAAAGCUUUCUAAUUUCCUAUUAACAGACUCACAGACUUGCAACAGCUAUGCUGUAAUUCAUUAUCUAAUAACAUUUUGAAUAUCAUUGCACAAAAAAACCACCAAGUUUAACAGCAUUUUCUCAAAUUUUUUUUCAUAUUAUUGGAAUGCAUUCAAAUUCAUACACAUACCGCUUUUGGAUGAAUAGAGCAUUUUCAAGAUCUCUACACGGUACAAAGAACAAUCUUAAAAAUAAACAAUGAGUAAGAAAGUACAAUCUGAGGCAGGAAUCUAAAUCAGGAGUUAAAUGUACAUAACCUUGAAAGGUCUUGAUCAUUAUGAAAGGGAUUGCAAGUACUUGCCAAUAACUAUUUCAAGGAUGUAAACAUUUGGGCUGCCAGUGUGUUAUUUACAUCUAUAGAAAAUUUAUAACUGGAGAAAGUGGUAUUUAAUUUUGAAAUAAUACAGACUGAAUAUGACAGGUUUUUUGGCACCAACAGCUAUUAGAAUUGUGAAUUGCCCUUUAUGGAAAGUGACUGAAACCUUACUCCUUUGAAAGUUAAAAACAGUGAAAGACAAAAAUCCUUGAAGAUGACUUCAAGGACUCAAGCCCUGCUGGCUGUAGGCUGCAACAGAACCUUUUACAGUUGAGUAAAUGCUUUUUUUCAUCUCAGCUUACUGUUUUGAAAAAAAAUUACCUUACUUCUAUUAAUAAUCUUGGUAUAAUACUUUCCAGUCUUUUUUGAAAUCUAGGGCUGUAUCUGUAUGAUACAAAUGCAGUGGACUGCAGAGAUAUCUAAAGUAGCUCUAAAUAGUAUGAAACAGGAGAAUCAAGCAAAAGACCCAGGGUAAGGCUGCUGUCCUAAUUCUGGAACAUUAAUCACACUGAUAGGUCUAUAUGGCACAGCACUGCAUUGACUCUCACACCUGAGAAUGUUAAAAAAAUCUGUUAUAGAGGGAAAAUAUUUCUAAAGCAUUUCUGCUCUUCAAUAUCUUUAUAGGUAAAAUGACUGCCAUUCAGUCCUCUCUACCUUCAGCUAUUGAAAUCAGUUGCAAACAGAAGACAAAUCACGCUAGUUAAGAUCUGAUACACUUGGGAAUUUUAACUGGAAAUAUCAAUCCCAUGCAAUAUCCUAUAGAGCAAUGCAGAAGCAGAAAAAAAUAGAUUUAAGAAGAUUUCAAAGAAUUAUUUUUCCUUUGUACACUACUAAACACAGUAUUCUUUGAAAAGCACCAAAAUGGUACUGCAGUCCUUAAAAAAAUUAUGUAAUAAAAUCUACAGCUUUAUUUCUUUGAAAAAAGGGAAUAUUUCUUUAUGACUUUUAUCACUGCAAAUUGCUUCAAAAUAAAAGCAGAAGUAUUAGUUUGCAAUAUUAACACAAUUAUGUUCUUGUUUGCUUUUAUGUGUCAUCACCUUCAAGUAUUUUGUAUUGACCUUCAAUCAACACAAUCUGUUUUAAAAUGCCUUAAGCUAAAACUAUGAGAGGUAGUUUUUGUGGGCAGAAAAUGCAAGCAUUUGAAACAAACAAUUUAUUUCAGCUCAAGUAUCACAAAUACUGUCUACGAAAUAAAAUACCCAUAAUGAAAUUGUUUACAGCACUUAUCUUUUACUACAAUCAACAAUUCUCGUUGUAAUGAGGGAUGCUAUCCUAAGCCUGCACAUUUCACAGGUCAAAUUAAAAAUAGGAUCUCUAUAAAAUUUCUAAAUUAAUAUCAGCUUGAUCUGAAAAAGGACAUUAUUUUAAAAUGGAAAUCCAAUUCCCUUGCUGCCUCAUCAACACUUAAAAGGUUAAGCUGGUAAAAUAUAAUCCUUUAUUCAGGCCUCUUCUAAGCUACUGAAGGCAGAACAAGUUGUUGCCUAGGAAAACAAAAUAUUUAGUGACUGUACUUUAUCUGUUUUUGUAGAGAACUUGUGGGCUGGCAGAAGAAGUUAUUUUCUAGGGGUUUUAAAGGAAAUAAGAAGUCUAUUGUACUCCCUGGAAAGGAGAUCACAUUCUGAAACUUGAAAUAUGAACCUUCUGAUAGAACACCAAGAUUUUAGACAGGAAAUCAAAUGAUAAGGCAAUUUAUUUGUUCCCUGAAUGGAGAGAGAUUUUGUUAGGAUACUUCAGAGACAGUACUCUCUCUGGCAAUAGAUAGAGUGGGUUGCUUUAUAAUGUAAGAUAAUUUUUUAAAUAAAUCAAUCAUUUGUGCUACCUUGUGUGUCACAGGACAAGAAAAUGAUCCUGCAGAUGGAACACAAUAGGUGCUAAAAUUGCUCAGCUUUGAUUAUUAGUACUAAAAAUGACUGCCAAUCACUACCUGAUUAUAAUUUGUUUUGAAGAGAGCGUGGGGGAAGAGAAGGAAAGAAAUAAAAGAGAAAAAGAGGGGGGGAAGAUCUGAUUUUAAAAAUUGCAAAGCAAAUGUUUGCCUCAGAAAGGAGGGAAAAGCAAUUGCUAUCUGCAAAUUUCAAUGGCUAGAUUUACAAAUCAAACAUGGUGGUUUUAAUAUCAUUUUUAAAUCACAAAACAAUAUUUUUAUUAUUGUCAUAAUGUAAGGAAAUAAUAGAAUCAAGAAAAUUACUUCAAAGUAAGAUCAUGUCUUCUAUUUAAAUAACCUGUAGUACAAAAUGACGCCAGGUGGAUUAGAAAAUAAUCAUUAUGCUACUGAAAGAAUAAAUGUCAUGACAUUGUUCACAGUGCAACUGUUUCCUUCCUUUCUUCCUUUCCUUUCCUCCUUCCUCCCUCCCUCCUCCCACUGCUCUGAAGUCUAAGCACUGCCAUGAUCCAAAGUGGGAGUGGGAAGAAGUAAACACAAGAUGUUUAAAGGAAUUGCCAUGGUUUAUGUCAUCUCAAGCUCUUUUGCAAGUAACAGUAUAGAGGAAAGAGAAUGAUGUAUUUAAAAAGUAUUUUCUUCAGAGUGAGGAACAGAUGGAAGCUUGCACAUCAAAUCACUCCAAGGCUGUAAGAUCACUACCUAUGCAAAACAUUGCAUGCCAAAACUGUACAGGAGACUUAAACACAUCAUGAAGUUAAAAUACUGGCACAUGGAUUUGUUGAGGAUACAGAGCUUCCAAUGAGAUUUCUAGAGACAGCCACUGCAAUACUACAACAUAACAACACUUUCUCAAUUAUAAGUAACAUCCACAGUAAUUUAGGAACUGAAUGAUGUAGAUAUUAUCAGCAUCCAAAACUGAAAGAGUCUGACUGCAGAAAGAAUAAUCUUCAAAUGCAAGAUUCAAAGGAACAAAUUUUGUACAUGAUUGCAAUUGGUACAUGUUUAAUUAUUGCAAAAUAAACAGAUAUGCAUUAUUGAAACUACUUUGAGACCUCUGUGGGUGCCCUGGAUAAAGGAAAUCUACAUAAAUCCAGUAUAAGGAAAAAAAUGCUAUUUGUAUAAUAUUGCAUGGCUUUUUUUUGUACAUUUAAUGAACCUACUGAUCCAGUGUCAAAGGUAAAUAGAGUAAUUUAGAGUGUUAUCCUUGGUAUUUGAAACCAUAGUAGUUACCAGAUAUGAAUGUAAUCCAAUUUACAGCAUUGUCCUACUAAUGCAGGAGCAACUGAACAAAUCCAUAUACAUCUUACCUCAUGAAGAAGUAAUUCAUCAUGAUGAAAGCUAUUCAGUUCCAUACUCAUCUUCAGAGUUUUUGGUAUGAAAAACAGGAACAACUUUUCUUUUGUCAAAAGA